rnacentral:lncRNA from 1 species
GAAAGCAAGCCUAUUUAUAGGUAAAAUACAAGAGUAAUUGAACCCUAAUAAAACUCUUUAAAAUUAUCUAAGAAAAUAUAUAAAUAAUAACCUAACCAAUAAAAUUACUUAACUCAUAAGUGAUGUGUCCCUACCAAUGAGAAUUAAGUAAAUAAUAAUAAUAAUAAGAUACAUGAAAGAUUAAUCCACUAAUUUAUGGGCUUGCACUAUUCCAAGAUUGGUCCAGUGAAUUGCAUUCCCGUAUUUGUCA